rnacentral:rRNA from 1 species
CCUACGGGAGGCAGCAGUGAGGAAUAUUGGUCAAUGGGCGCGAGCCUGAACCAGCCAAGUAGCGUGAAGGAGGACUGCCCUGCGGGUUGUAAACUUCUUUUAUAAAGGAAUAAAGUGAGGCACGUGUGCCUUUUUGUAUGUACUUGAUGAAUAAGGAUCGGCUAACUCCGUGCCAGCAGCCGCGGUAAUACGGAGGAUCCGAGCGUUAUCCGGAUUUAUUGGGUUUAAAGGGAGCGUAGAUGGGUUGUUAAGUCAGUUGUGAAAGUUUGCGGCUCAACCGUAAAAUUGCAAUUGAUACUGGCAGCCUUGAGUACAGUUGAGGUAGGCGGAAUGCGUGGUGUAGCGGUGAAAUGCUUAGAUAUCACGCAGAACUCCGAUUGCGAAGGCAGCUUACUAAACUGCCACUGACAUUGAUGCUCGAAAGUGUGGGUAUCAAACAGGAUUAGAUACCCUGGUAGUC